rnacentral:lncRNA from 1 species
GUUCUACUGAGGUUUGUUCUUAAACUUAUAUACAGAAUAUAUUUAUCCCACUUAGAUGUGCGGCAUUUCAUAUUAGACUUGAAGAACGUUUUUUCCUCUGUGUUAUUUGAUAAGUUCCAUGUUUUUGUUUAAUAUUUUUCAGACAAACUGCAUGUCGUUCAUACUUUCAUCAUACGUUUGUACUGGAGAACAUGAGCCAGUCUGUGCAACCAAUGGUCAGACUUACCGUAAUAUAUGUGUUCUCUGCAGUGAAAAGAUGCUUCUUCGUGAAAAUUUUGAAGUUGAUCAUUUUGGUGUUUGUUGAAUUUUGAUGAAGAUACACACCCUUAUAGUUCUAAUGUGAUCUAAUUUUGCAGUCAGUUCUACAAUUAGAAUUUGAUUUCUUUCAACUGGGUCCUUAAAUUCACAGAUCAGAUAAAUCCUCUUAUGGAACAUGAGAUGGAAAAUAGAAUUUCAAAGUUACUGCCAAUUCCAAGAUUUUUUUAUUUCAGGACUUUGAUUCUCCAUGUUUGAUUAUUCAGUGACAGUUUGAAAAAUAUCUUAAAUAUGUUUGAUAUCAUAAAACCUAAUACAACUUAAAAUCUUAAAUAUUUCAUUCAAAAAAGUNNNNNNNNNNNNNNNNNNNNNNNNNNNNNNNNNNNNNNNNNNNNNNNNNNNNNNCCGUAGACGAUAGCCCAGCAGACUCCUUUGUCCACAGGAUUCUUCAGGCAAGAAUACUGGAGUGGAUUGCCAUUUCCCCCUCCAGGUAACUCAAUGGUUUUUAGUAAAUUUAAAAAGUUAUGAAAGUAUCACCUGAUCUGCCCCUGAUAGCUUACAGUGAACGACAUCAGAUUCAUGAUCUCCGAAGAAGAUGUAGCUUCCGGACCAGGGACCAGACUUGAUCACUCAAGAGCUUUUAUGUAGCAGAGUUAUAUUAGAGUAUAAAAGGGGACAAACAAAGCUUCUGACAUAGACAUCAGUAGGGGGACAGAGAGUGCCCCCACUCACUAGUCUUAGUGAGGCCUUAUAUACUUUCAUCAGACCCACUCCCACAACAUACACCUUAAAUUAACAAGAUUAGAACUAACAAUAGAAAGGUCUUACCAGACACACUCCCAUAAUAUACCUCAACAUAACAAGAUUAGUCAGAAGGUUCUUGUUAAGGAGGAACAUGUCUUUGAGCAAGACACACUGUUAUAUUGACUAAGACAAAGCAAUGUAGAAAAAAAAGAUGUCCCCUUCCCCUUGAUGCCCCAGACCCCUUUCUCCUUCUCUAGGGCUCCAGACCCCUUUCUCCUCCUUGGGGACCCUGGACUUAUCAACCUACCUAGGAAUUG